AGGGGUGUAGCUCAGUGGUAGAGCUCUUGCCUAGCAUGCACAAGGCUCUGGGUUCUAAUCUCCAGCAUUACUA
rnacentral:tRNA from 1 species